UACAGAGGCCUCAAGCGUUGUUCGGAAUCACUGGGCGUAAAGGGUGCGUAGGCGGCGCGGAAAGUCAGGGGUGAAAUCCCGGAGCUCAACUCCGGAACUGCCUUUGAAACUGCCGGGCUCGAGGCCGGGAGGGGGUAGCGGAAUUCCCAGUGUAGCGGUGAAAUGCGUAGAUAUUGGGAGGAACACCGGUGGCGAAGGCGGCUACCUGGACCGGUUCUGACGCUGAUGCGCGAAAGCGUGGGUAGCAAACAGG
rnacentral:rRNA from 1 species